rnacentral:lncRNA from 1 species
AGCUGCGCGAGCCGCUGCGGAGGGAAGGGCUCCUAGCCAAUUGGGGUCUUUGAGGCGAAUGCGAGGCUGGGGCCGGUUGCCUACCGGCCGCUUCUCGCCGAGGCAGUCCAGACUUUUCCCCCGGCGGUGCCCGCUCCAAGACAGCAUCUGUCAACGCUCCUCUUCUCCCCUCCUCCUCCUGCCGGGCCGGGCUCCGCCGGCUGCGGCCGAGAGGACGCGGGACCCGGCGCGGUGAGCCCAUCAGCUGUCAGGCGAGCGGCGAAGCGGCUGGAGGGCGGCGAGAGACACACAAAGAACGCGGUGGGCGGCGGCGGCGAAAGGGGACGGCAACUCCUCCCCGCGCCCGCCGGUGCCACCGCCGGCCGUGCUUGUUCCGAGGCCGCGCAGACAAUGCGGCCGGGCUCGUCCCCGCGUGCCCCAGAGUGCGGAGCGCCCGCGCUCCCCCGACCCCAACUUGACCGUCUCCCGGCUCGCCCAGCCCCCUCCCGGGGUAGGGGCGCCCCCUCCCUCCGGUGGCCGGCGAAGGAAGUCGGUCCGCGGCCGCAGAUCCCGGCAACUUGCGAACCGGGAAAAGUUUGCGGCGCCUCCGCGGGGCGGCGCGACGCGGCCCGCCCCUCGCGUCCGCGGUCAUCGCGGGUGACUUUCUCGACUCGUCGUCAGCCGGGGCCGCAGCGCGGCCGGUGGGGACUGCGGGGCGGGCCGGAGUCCGUCCGAGGGCUCCCGCACCUCGGGCUGCGGGAACAUUAAAAUCUCCCCAGAUGCUCACUGCUCUGAUCAUUUCCCCUACAGCACCAGACAUGUUGGCAUCAUCUCUUAGUUGGGCCAUGUGGCCAGGGAACCCUUCAUGAAACCACCUCUGCAGUCCUGGAGAGUUGCUGUAGAAGAAGGAAAAGAGAGGAAGACAACACAACACAGGAGGGGAUAAGUACCUCUGGACACAAUGGAAGUAGUAGUUGUUGAGCAGAGGGAAAGGGAUAGGAGAAGGAUGUGGACUGCAGUGCUGCAGUGCCAGGUAAUAACUUUGAUCAUGUACCUCCUUGGCUCAGGUGCUGUCUCUUCUACUCUCCUCCUUACUUGUACUACCUUAUUUAGCACUUAAUUAUAUACUUUCUUGACUCACUUUGAGACACACUGAUUAUGUGGUCUGCCUCAAAGACAGAAUCCUAGUUUUGGAUUUUAGCAUUACUGAUCUAUAGCCUUGCAGGGGCUUAAGGAUGGCAGCUGUCUCUCUCCCUUGGGAUCUAGCUUUUGCAAAUAUUGAAGGGAAGAGAUUUCUUUGAUCUUAUAGGAAUAGAUCCACAGUUCCUCUCCAGAUUUGCUUUUAUAGAGAAGUGUGUGUCACCAAAACAAUGGAGAUACGGUCAGAGAGGCCCCUACCCCCAGAAUUUUAAUAUAAUUUUACUUUCUGGGGCAUUUAUUCUUGACAAAUACUUUCUCUCCUAUCAGCUCACUUGUUCCUCACAAAAACCCUAUAAGAUAUUAAUAUUAUUAAACAGACCCCUAUGAAGCACCUCAAGUCUUUCUCUCUUCCCACUUCCAUUCUUGCACACCUUUUGCUAGACUAGUCUCUGCGUUCAUCACAUCAGGUUUCUAAAAUAAAAGUCCCCUAAUAACUUUCUAUUUGUUCUCUCAUCAUAUUGAACCUUUUUUGCCUGGCUUAUAAGGUGGCCUUAAAACCCCAUUUUCCUCUAAACAUUGUCUCUGUAGUUCAGGAAUAUGGCAGGCUCAACACUAUGCUUGAGCCCAUAUUGCUUCCCUCAUUAGUGAUGCCUCCUCUCAGACCACCCAGAUUCUACUCAUUCUUCAAUUUCCAGCUUCUCCUUGGAGCCUUCCCAGAUCAUUAGCUUCUUAAAAAUCCCAGCUUUCUCUGAAUUCUGAUGGUAGCCCCCGUUAUUUGGACAAUUAUGUCCUGGUCUUAAAGUCCUAAUGGGAAAAAAAAGUACAUGAUGGACUUCAUGUAGAGAAGAAAGCACUGGACUGAGUUUUAAGACAGCUGCUAAGGAGCUGUGUGAGCCAAACCAGGUUACUUUACCUCUCUGGAUCUAUAUUUGCUGAUCUGUUAAGUGGAGACAAUUGGGUCAGAUAAUCUUGGUGGUCUUUGCUUAUUCUGAGGUUCUUGGACAACUUGGCCUAGUUCACGUGGGAUGGGAUUGAAGAUCUUACUGAGUUCUUGGAUGGAAAUGUCAGUAAUGGGCACUUAGUGCCUUCAGGACUUGUUCUAUACUAUCCCAGAAAUUUCUGAUGCUAAACUUGGCAAUUUUUAAAUGUCAUAUUCCUUUUCUCCAAACUCUUUAACCACAAGAAUUCAGGGAAGGUUAUGGGGGGUGACUUAGUUAUCUGGAUAAUACAUAUUGUGGACAAUAUAGCAUUAUCCUUGGGAAUGAUUUCAUAUUGUUGAAUAAAUAGGAUCAACUUCUUGAUAAACCUUAGUCCCAAGCAUUUCAUCUUCAUUGGAUAGUGUUACAUAGUAAUAUAUUUAUGUUUUCUUUUAAUCAUUUCAUAACUUGGAAAAUACUAACAUAGUCAAAACUCUAGGGUAGGUGAUACAUGAGUUUCUGUAGUAAUCUGGUUGGAGACAUGUUGUAAUUCUGUAUAUAUAUGUACAUUUAUCCCAUGCAUGUUAUGCCUAAACUAAGACGGAUACCCCUGAAUUAAGAGGUGCUGUUAUACAUUGACCAGGCUUAAGAAUAUCUCUUUAAAGUGUGUCGACAUUUAAUUGACCUUUGGAAGUUCAUUCUGUUAAUCAUACUCAAAGUGCUAAAGCUAUGGUUGACUGCUCUGGUGUUUUUAUAUUCAUUCGUGCUUUAGCAUAUAAAUUCUUCAGCAUAAUUGCUACUUAUUUAGCAAGAGUUUCCUUUAUUUGAAAAUGUGAGUUGUGCUUGUAUUUUUGUGUCUUUCUUUCUUUCUUUCUUUUUUUAAACUUUGCUUCAGGCUGGGUAGUGGUAGAGGUUUGAAUUAAAAUGUUUUCCUGUCAGUAGUUGUAUGAGGUGUGGCUUCUUAAUCUAGAAGUAAUGGAAAUUUCUUGCUUAAAUGAAGUGCACUUUUCUUCCUGCAGAAGUUAGAACUCUUUUAGACAAGCUUAACACUUCAAAACUGUAUAUCUUUAACAGAAACUUUUGGAAAUUUUUAAAUUCCAUUUGUGUAGAUUAAAAAUAUCAAUGCUAAUACUUU